CCUACGGGAGGCAGCAGUGAGGAAUAUUGGUCAAUGGACGAGAGUCUGAACCAGCCAAGUAGCGUGAAGGAUGACUGCCCUAUGGGUUGUAAACCUCUUUUAUAUGGGAAUAAAAUGUUCCACGUGUGGGCUUUUGUAUGUACCCUAUGAAUAAGGAUCGGCUAACUCCGUGCCAGCAGCCGCGGUAAUACGGAGGAUCCGAGCGUUAUCCGGAUUUAUUGGGUUUAAAGGGUGCGUAGGUGGGUUGUUAAGUCAGUUGUGAAAGUUUGCGGCUCAACCGUAGAAUUGCAGUUGAAACUGGCAGUCUGGAGUGCAGUAGAGGUGGGCGGAAUUCGUGGUGUAGCGGUGAAAUGCUUAGAUAUCGCGAAGAACUCCGAUUGCGAAGGCAGCUCGCUGGACUGCAACUGACACUGAGGCUCGAAAGUGUGGGUAUCAAACAGGAUUAGAUACCCUUGUAGUC
rnacentral:rRNA from 1 species